rnacentral:rRNA from 1 species
AAGAUAUAUAAUUGUUAUUUAUAUAAAUACAAGUAUAUAAAGAAAUUAUUAUGGAAUUUUAGCUGUAUAUUAAAGAGAAAGUAGUAUAAACAUGAAAAAUAAGGCUAUUUUAGUCAUUAUAAAUCAUAAUUUAAAUUAACUCUAAGAAAAAUCUUUUAAUAAACGAAGUGAAUUGAAAUAUCUUAGUAGCUUUAGGAAUAGAAAUCAAAAGAGAUUCUACAAAUAGCGUGAGUGAAAGUAGAGAAGUCUAAAAAGUCAAAUGGUUAAUAAACUGUUUAAAUGGGGAACCUUCCUCAAAGACUAAAUAUAAUAUAUAAGCGAUAGUGGUUGAGUACCAUGAGGGAACAAAAAAAAAAUAGUAAUUUUAUAAGCAGUUCGAUGCGUAAGCUAAAGAACGUACCUUUUGCAUAAUGGGUCACCAAGUUAACAUUAGAUGCGAGAAAAUUCGUAGAUAAACCGGACGUUAAAAUAACGUCAGAGUGUCUAAAGUUAGACCCGAAGCCAGGUGAUUUUACCAUGGUCAGGAUUAUAAAAGUCCGAACCGGUUGUUGUAGCAAUAACAUCGGAAGAACUGUGGUAGGUGUAGUGAAAGACAACACUGACUUGGAUAGCUGGUUUUCUGCGAAACCUAUAAUAGUAGGAAAUUUAAGUAAAUAUAUCUUAGCAGGUACAGAAAUUAAUCUCAGACAAGGCAAUUUCGUCUUAUUUUGUACAAAUUGGGGGAUCGUGAAGAUUUUAUCAGUGAGUAUGCAGACUCGGAAUGGCAAAGAUAUAACUUGAAUUAUCAGACAUAGUAUGAUAAGGUAGUAUGUCAAAAGGGAAACAGCCCAGAACAAGAGUUAAGGUUCCUAAAUUUAUAGUUAAGUGAAAUGAAGAAGGUCUUUAUUCAAGUCGACAAGGAGAUAGGCUUAGAAGCAGCCAUAAUUUUAUGAUCUCGUAACAGAGCGCUUGUUAAGUUAUAAAGGCAUCAAUAAUAUAACGGAUCUAAACUAUAUACCGAAAUCUUGUCCAUAAAAUAUUAUAAUAAUAAAAAUAAUAAUAAUUUUAUGGGGUAGCAGAACGUUGAGUUAAAUUAUGACUUUUAUUUUUUAAAUAAAAAUAUAAUAAUAGAACUCAAGUGAUAAUGGUGACAUGAGUAACUAAAAGAAAAAUUAUUUUCCGCCUUAAGCUUAUGGCUAGAUUUAAGUAACGGCCCCUAAGUUUAGAUAUUAUCUAAAGAUUUAAACGAUGGGUAAAUCUUUUUUACUAAUGACGACAUUUUUUUGUGGAAAAUGUACUGGAAAAAUAGUAAUAUACUCGUUUAAGGCGCAAGCUCAUAAACGAAUGAAAAAUAACCGUACCUAGAUACUGAAACAAGUAAGCAAGUAGAGUAUACGAAGGCGUGAUUGAGCUAACAAUCAUAAAGGAACUCGGCAAAUUGACUACUGUAACUUCGGAAUAAAGAGGGCUCAUUAUUCUUGAUUAAUAUCAAGUAAAGAGGAAGAAGCAUGAAAUAAUGUUGUACGACUGUUUAAUUAAAACACAGCACUUUGCUUAAAGAUAAAAAAAUCUAUGUAUAAAGUGUGAAAUCUGCCCGGUGCCGGCUGGUUAAUGGAGAUAAUUGAAUGAUCUAACAUUUGAUGUUGACAGAACCCCCGGUUAAAGGCGGCCUUAACGUGAGGGUCCUAAGGUAGCGAAAUGCCUUGGCCGUUAAAUGCGGUCUUGCAUGAAUGGUGUAACGAUACAACAGCUGUCUCUAUGAUUGACUCAGUGAAAUUGGAAUAGCUGUGCAGAUACAGCUUACCUCUAGUUAGACGAGAAGACCCUAUGCAGCUUUACUGUCACUAAUUAUAGAAUAUGAUAAACAUCUUUCAGACUAAAAGGGAAUAGAUAAUAUAAACAUGAGAAACCUUUAUUUUUUUUUCAUACGAAUGAGACGGUUUAAGACUUUGAAUCUUCAAUUUUUUAAACACAACUAGUCUCUGCCUAUUUUAUAGGUACCCUUAGAUAAGGAACUAUGGUUAGGAGACAGUUUAUGUGGGGCACAGACCCUGUAAAGAGUAAACAGGAGUGUCUAAUAAUUUACAAUAAUUUUGUUUGUAAUUUUGGGUAGUUUAACUAUUCUUAAUCAUAUACAUUUAUUUAUAUAUACAUUGUACAUUUUAAUGUAUGACUGCAUAUAUAUUUAAAAAAAGGUAGGAUUUUUACUAUAUAGAAAUUAGAGAUAAUUGAAAAGAUUAUAAAAUAAUCUUUUCUAGCUAUUAACUAAAUAAUAGUGGUGAAAAUAUCUAGAAAGCUCAACGGCUAAAUCUUGCCUUACUGUUUGAUUAUCUACAAAUCUUACAGUUGCGUAAGCAGGGCAUAGGAUCACAAGAUGCAAUAAGGAAAGAUCUUGGAUUAUUGGAAAAGCUACGCUAGGGAUGUUUGUCCUUUAAUAUUUUAUGAAAUAGAGCUAAAGCUCUAUAUAAAAUAAUUGAUAUAAAUUGGGUAAAUUUCAAGAAUUACUAAUUCUUUUUUUAGUAAAUUUGAAGCGAAAUUUAUUUUAGCAUAAAUUUUAAAAUAAAAACGUUCAACGACUAUAAGGUGAGUGUUUAUGCAUAAAUACACGAUAAUCCUUUAUUACUACCCAACAUUUUUAUAGCAUAUUAAUAUAUUAAUAAAUAAAUAAAAGAAAUAAAACAAAAUUCUAAAAUAUAAUGAAUAAAAACCUAAAUAAAACUAAAAUAUUUAAUAAUAAUUUAAAUCAAAAUUCUAAAAGUAUACUUUUAAGAUCAAAGUUAAAUUUGGUAGGUACUACAAAAUAUUUACCUUCAUUUUCUAAAGAGUGAAGAAAUAUAAUAUAUUCUUUUAAUAAAAAUAAUUUAAAAAAUAUUCCAGCUAAUGAUGUUAAUGUAAAUAAAAUAGUACAAAGUUAUUUUGAUUUAUUUUUUAAAAAUCAAAAUCAAUUUAUAGGUGUAAAAAGAGUAAAACUUUUAAAAAGACGUAAGUUUUUAAGAAGAAUUUUUGUAAGUAAUGUAGAAAUUAAACAUACUAAUAAUAAAGCAAAAAUAACUCUAUAUACUAUAAAUAGAGAAAAAAAAAUACUUAAAGAAAAAUAUAUAAAAUUAUAUAAAAAAAUAAGCUUUAAAUUGUUUAAAGAUUAUAUUUACUUAUACAAAAAUCAUAUGAAUAAUAUACAUUCAUUUUUGUGUGGAGGCGCAAGCUCUAAUAAUAGUGCAUUAGCAAAAACUCUGAAAAUUAGAAAUGAAUAUUUUUUUGAGGCGGAUUUAAUAAGAAAAAAAAAUUAUUUAAAUCAUAAAUGAAAUUAUUUACAAAUCUUUAUAAAAUUAAAUAAUCUUUUAUUAAGAAAAACAUGAAGUUUACUAAUAAAAAAUCAAUCUAAAAAUUAUAUACGUUUAUUAAGAAGAUAUAAUUUAUCAUAUUCUCUUAAUCAAUUUAAAUUUAAUAAAUUAAUAUUAUUACCUAAAUUAAGUAAUUUAUUAAGUAAAAUAAUAGGAAAAAAAGUAGAAUAUAAUAUUAUAAAUUUAAAAUCUAUUUCAUAUAAUGCUGAUCUUUUUACAAAGAUAUUAGCAUUAAAAAUAAAAAAAAUUAAACAAGGACAUGUAAGAAGAAUGUUAGCUGUUAUAAAUAAAGCAUAUUUACCUAAAGUAAAUACAAUACAAGAAAGAACUAAAAUACAAACUUGAGAUAAUAUUGAUGUAUUCCAAAAUAAUUAUAAAGAUUUAAAAGUUCUUUCUAAUAUGGGCAUAACUUGCGCAGCAAGCUAUAGCUCUAAAAAAGAGAACAUUUCUGAAUUAUUAACUACAAUUUAUAACGAUACAAAUAAUUCUGAGAAUAUUCAUAAUUUAAUUUAUAAUUCUAUUGGUUAUAAAAAUAUGAGAGGGAUAAAAAUAGAAGUUAAAGGUAGAUUAACUAAACGUUAUAGAGCGGAUAGAUCAGUUUAUUCUUUAAAAAGAAAAGGUGGAUUGAAAAAUAUAAAUUCAUCUUUCCAAGGUUUAAGUUCAGUUUUGUUUAGAGGAAAUACUAAUUCUAAUGUUAGUUAUUCUUGAGCUAAAUCAAAACGUCGUGUUGGAGCUUUUGCAGUUAAAGGUUGAAUUGCAGGUAAAUAAAUAUUAAAGGAAACAUAUUAAUAAUAUAAAAAUGAAGACAUAGUCUGAACCAUUCUGAGAAGAAUGGAAAAAACGAUAACAAAUAGAACAGGCUAAUUUGCGCAAGAGUGUACAUAAUGAGUGCGCGGUUUGGCACCUCGAUGUCGGCUUAACUUCUCCUCAUGGAUGCAGAAACUAUGUAGGGUGCGACUGUUCGUCGAUUAAAAAGUUACAUGAGCUGGGUUAAAUACGUCGUGAGACAGUAUGGUUUCUAUCUUCUAGAGGGAAUUAGAAUAAAAUAAGAAGGAACUUUUGUACGAAAGGAACAAGAAGAAUUUAAUUAGUUCUGCUAAUUAGAUAAUAGUUAUGAACCUAUGGUUUACCUGUUGUUUAUGUGUCUAAAUAUUAAAUAUGCAUAUUUAUAUGCAUACUUGUACUAUUGUACAUAAGAAUGUUUCUUUCACUAAGAUAAAUUGAUUACAUAGGCACGGCAGGAAAGCUAAGUUUGUUAAAGAUAAGUGCUGAAAGCAUAUAGGCACGAAGCUUCCCUUUGGAUAUUUCUUAAAUAUGCGUAAUAUACUAUUACGAAAAUACUAUAUAGGCUUAAUCUGUAUUAAUCUUGAGAUUUUUAAGAAUAAAGUACUAAUUUAAUAAAUCACUAUAU